rnacentral:rRNA from 1 species
UAGGGAAUCUUCCACAAUGGACGCAAGUCAGAUGGAGCAACGCCGAGUGAGUGAAGAUGGUUUUCGGAUGGUAAAGCUCUGUGGUUGGUGAAGAAGGAUAGAGGUAGUAACUGGCCUUUAUUUGACGGUAAUCAACCAGAAAGUCACGGCUAACUACGUGCCAGCAGCCGCGGUAAUACGUAGGUGGCAAGCGUUGUCCGGAUUUAUUGGGCGUAAAGCGUGCGCAGGCAGAAGAAUAAGUCUGAUGUGAAAGCCCUCGGCUUAACCGAAGAACUGCAUCGGAAAAUGUUUUUCUUGAGUGCAGAAGAGGAGAGUGGACCUCCAUGUUUAGCGGUGCAAUACGUAGAUAUAUGAAAGAACACCAGUGGCGAAGGCGACUCUCUGGACUGCAACUGACGCUGAGGCUCGAAAGCAUGGGUAGCGAACAGG